rnacentral:rRNA from 1 species
UACAGAGACUGCAAGCGUUAUUCGGAUUCACUGGGCGUAAAGGGUGCGCAGGCGGCUAGGUGUGUGAGGCGUGAAAGCCCGGGGCUUAACCCCGGAAUUGCACCUCAAACUACUUGGCUAGAGCAUUGGAGAGGGUAGCAGAAUUCACGGUGUAGCAGUGAAAUGCGUAGAUAUCGUGAGGAAUACCAGAGGCGAAGGCGGCUACCUGGACAAUUGCUGACGCUCAGGCACGAAAGCGUGGGGAGCAAACAGC